rnacentral:rRNA from 1 species
AUUGAACGCUGGCGGCAUGCCUUACACAUGCAAGUCGAACGGUAACGGGUCCUUCGGGAUGCCGACGAGUGGCGAACGGGUGAGUAAUAUAUCGGAACGUGCCCAGUAGUGGGGGAUAACUGCUCGAAAGAGCAGCUAAUACCGCAUACGACCUGAGGGUGAAAGGGGGGGAUCGCAAGACCUCUCGCUAUUGGAGCGGCCGAUAUCAGAUUAGCUAGUUGGUGGGGUAAAGGCCUACCAAGGCAACGAUCUGUAGUUGGUCUGAGAGGACGACCAGCCUCACUGGGACUGAGACACGGCCCAGACUCCUACGGGAGGCAGCAGUGGGGAAUUUUGGACAAUGGGCGCAAGCCUGAUCCAGCAAUGCCGCGUGCAGGAAGAAGGCCUUCGGGUUGUAAACUGCUUUUGUCAGGGAAGAAAUCUUCUGGGUUAAUACCCCGGGAGGAUGACGGUACCUGAAGAAUAAGCACCGGCUAACUACGUGCCAGCCGCCGCCGUAAGAC